GCGGCGUGCCUAAUACAUGCAAGUCGAGCGCUAGGGGUGCUCCCUUAGGGGAGCCCCCUGGAGCGGCGGACGGGUGANUAACCCGUAGGCAACCUGGCUGGAAGACCGGGAUUACUACCGGAAACGGGAGCUAAGACCGGAUAGGUGGUUUUUCCGCAUGGAGGGAUCAAGAAACACGGUGCAAGCUGGGGCUUACAGAUGGGCCUGGGGCGCAUUAACUAGUUGGGGGGGUAACGGCUCACCAAGGCGACGAUGCGUAGCCGACCUGAGAGGGUGAUCGGCCACACUGGGACUGAAACACGGGCCAAACUCCUACCGGAGGGAGCAGUAGGGAAUCUUCCGCAAUGGACGCCAGUCUGACGGAACAACCCCCCGUGGGUGAAGAAGGGUUUCGGAUCCUAAAGCUCUGUUGCCCAGGAANAACGNCUUGGGGAGUCACUGGCCUGAGGGUGACGGGACUUGAGAAGAAAGCCCCGGCUAACUACGUGCCAGCAGCCGCGGUAAUACCUAGGGGGCAAGCGUUGUCCGGAAUUAUUGGGCGUAAAGCGCGCGCANGCNGCCGCUUAANUUUGGUGUAUAAGCCCGGGGCUCAACCCCGGAUCGCACCCAAAACUGGGUGGCUUGAGUGCAGGAAAAGAAAGCGGAAUUCCNCGUGUAGCGGUGAAAUGCGUAGAGAUGUGGAAGAACACCAGUGGCGAAAGCGGCUUUCUGGACUGGAACUGACNCUGAAGCGCNAAAGCGUGGGNAGNAAACANGAUUANAUACCCUGGNAGUCCACGCCNUAAANNAUGAAUGCUAGGUGUUAGGGGUUUCGAUUCCCUUGGUGCCGAAGUCAACACAUUAAGCACUNCCNNCUGGGGAGUACGCUCGCCAGAGUGAAACUCAAAGGAAAUGACGGGGACCCGCACAAGCAGUGGAGUAUGUGGUUUAAUUCGAAGCAACGCGAAGAACCUUACCAGGUCUUGACAUCCCUUUGACCGGUACAGAGAUGUACCUUUCCUUCGGGACAGAAGAGACAGGUGGUGCAUGGUUGUCGUCAGCUCGUGUCGUGAGAUGUUGGGUUAAGUCCCGCAACGAGCGCAACCCUUGAUCUUGGUUGCCAGCAUUAAGUUUGGCACUCUAAGUUGACUGCCGGUGACAAACCGGAGGAAGAGGGGGAUGACGUCAAAUCAUCAUGCCCCUUAUGACCUGGGCUACACACGUACUACAAUGGCCGGUACAACGGGAAGCGAAGGAAUCAGACGGAGUCAAUACUUAUAAGCCGGUCUCAGUUCGGAUUGCAGGCUG
rnacentral:rRNA from 1 species